AUCCAGCCGACGAGUCCCAAAUAAGACGAAGCACGUAUCCUGGAU
rnacentral:hammerhead_ribozyme from 1 species